UGACAUUAUGGGGUGUUGUGAGUAGAUUUUUGAGGGAAAAAUAAAUUUCCUCCAUUUUGGAAUAAGGCUUUAACAUAAAAUGUGGAAAACAUGAAGCACUGUGAAUACUUUCCGUGUGCACUGUAUGUCAUUACUUUCAAUAUUUGCACUGCGCAAAAUACAAUCACCACAGUUUAAAGCACUUGCAAUGUAUUACAGCUUGAAUGGUGAUAUAUGCAUUUGUUAUGUAGUUCUUGGAUUUGCCAGUGCAGAGAUUUAUGGCUGUUAACAGCAAACAGCGACGUGUCUGAGUCUGUGUGCUAAAUAUGGAUCCUGUGGACGUGAAGCCAUGGCGCAAAUAAUCAUUUUGAAAGCAGGUAUAAUGUACACCACAGCUCACCUAAAAAAAAAUAUAUAAUAAAUAAA